UACCAGCACCCCGAGUGGUCGGGACGAUUAUUGGGCCUAAAGCAUCCGUAGCCGGUUUUACAAGUCCUCCGUUAAAUCCAGCUGCUUAACAGAUGGGCUGCGGAGGAUACUAUAAGACUAGGAGGCAGGAGAGGCAAGCGGUACUCAGUGGGUAGGGGUAAAAUCCGUUGAUCCAUUGAAGACCACCAGUGGCGAAGGCGGCUUGCCAGAACGCGCUCGACGGUGAGGGAUGAAAGCUGGGGAGCAAACCGG
rnacentral:rRNA from 1 species